GACGAACGCUGGCGGCGUGCCUAAUACAUGCAAGUCGAACGCUUCUUUCCUCCCGAGUGCUUGCACUCAAUUGGAAAGAGGAGUGGCGGACGGGUGAGUAACACGUGGGUAACCUACCCAUCAGAGGGGGAUAACACUUGGAAACAGGUGCUAAUACCGCAUAACAGUUUAUGCCGCAUGGCAUAAGAGUGAAAGGCGCUUUCGGGUGUCGCUGAUGGAUGGACCCGCGCUGCAUUAGCUAGUUGGUGAGGUAACGGCUCACCAAGGCCACGAUGCAUAGCCGACCUGAGAGGGUGAUCGGCCACACUGGGACUGAGACACGGCCCAGACUCCUACGGGAGGCAGCAGUAGGGAAUCUUCGGCAAUGGACGAAAGUCUGACCGAGCAACGCCGCGUGAGUGAAGAAGGUUUUCGGAUCGUAAAACUCUGUUGUUAGAGAAGAACAAGGACGUUAGUAACUGAACGUCCCCUGACGGUAUCUAACCAGAAAGCCACGGCUAACUACGUG
rnacentral:rRNA from 1 species